rnacentral:rRNA from 1 species
GACGAACGCUGGCGGCGUGCUUAACACAUGCAAGUCGAACGGAAAGGCCUUUUCGGAGGUACUCGAGUGGCGAACGGGUGAGUAACACGUGGGUGAUCUUCCCUGCACUCUGGGAUAAGCCUGGGAAACUGGGUCUAAUACCGGAUAGGACCGCACUUUAGUGUGUGUGGUGGAAAGUUUUUUCGGUGUAGGAUGAGCCCGCGGCCUAUCAGCUUGUUGGGGGGGUAAUGGCCUACCAAGGCGGCGACGGGUAGCCGGACUGAGAGGUUGUUCGGCCACAUUGGGACUGAGAGACGGCACAGACGCCUACGGGAGGCAGCAGUGGGGAAUAUUGCACAAUGGGCGCAAGCCGGAUGCAGCGAGGCCGCGGGGGGGAUGACGGCCUUCGGGUUGUAAACUCCUUUCGCCAGGGACGAAGCGUUUUGUGACGGUACCUGGAGAAGAAGCACCGGCUAACUACGUG